rnacentral:rRNA from 1 species
UGAGGAAUAUUGGUCAAUGGGCGCAGGCCUGAACCAGCCAAGUCGCGUGAGGGAGGACGGUCCUACGGAUUGUAAACCUCUUUUGUCGGGGAGUAACGUGCGGGACGGGUCCCGUAUUGAGAGUACCCGAAGAAAAAGCAUCGGCUAACUCCGUGCCAGCAGCCGCGGUAAUACGGAGGAUGCGAGCGUUAUCCGGAUUUAUUGGGUUUAAAGGGAGCGUAGGCCGGAGAUUAAGCGUGUUGUGAAAUGUAGCGCUCAACGUCUGCACUGCAGCGCGAACUGGUUCUUCUAGAGU